rnacentral:rRNA from 1 species
UACAGAGGGGGCAAGCGUUAUUCGGAAUUAUUGGGCGUAAAGGGCGCGUAGGCGGCAUGGCAAGUGGAAGGUGAAAUCCCUCGGCUUAACCGAGGAACUGCCCUCCAAACUGCUUUGCUUGAGACCGGGAGAGGUGAGUGGAAUUCCCAGUGUAGCGGUGAAAUGCGUAGAUAUUGGGAGGAACACCAGUGGCGAAGGCGGCUCACUGGACCGGAACUGACGCUGAGGCGCGAAAGCGUGGGGAGCAAACAGG